GUGUUUUCUUCAGUAGCACAUACACUAAAAUUGGAACGACGUGGAGAUUAGCACGGCCCCUGCCCAAGGAUGACACGCAAAUCCGUGAAGCUUUCCAUAUUAAA
ensembl:snRNA U6 U6 spliceosomal RNA